UACGUAGGGUGCAAGCGUUGUCCGGAAUUAUUGGGCGUAAAGAGCUCGUAGGCGGUUUGUCGCGUCUGCUGUGAAAACGCGAGGCUCAACCUCGCGCCUGCAGUGGGUACGGACAGACUAGAGUGCGGUAGGGGAGAUUGGAAUUCCUGGUGUAGCGGUGGAAUGCGCAGAUAUCAGGAGGAACACCGAUGGCGAAGGCAGAUCUCUGGGCCGUUACUGACGCUGAGGAGCGAAAGCGUGGGGAGCGAACAGG
rnacentral:rRNA from 1 species